rnacentral:misc_RNA from 1 species
CAGCGAAACAAAAAAAAAAAUCUAGUUAUUAGUUACAUUCUCAAUUUAGAACAAAAUACUUAACAAAAAUCACUAGGAACACUUUUCUAAGUAAUUGUUAAAUUGCAUUCUUGCAGCUUCCAAAAAAUAUCUGAUAAACGUAAAGUUACUAUAGAAAAUCAUACACACUGUUUCUGCAUCUUAUUUAAUACCCCAUGGAAGUAGUGAUAAAAUUUUAACAUGCAGACACGGUAUCAGGUGGUAAUAUUUGACAUAAAUCUAGAAUUCUGGACUACACAAUAGCAUCACCAAGAAUCCUACAUAAAAUAUAUCAACCAUCUUCUCGUUCCCAUAGAAUGGCAUGCUGAUUGAGGAAACAAUUUGGAUUUG